CAGUCGCCGCGGUAAUACUGAGGGUGCAAGCGUUAUCCGGAUUUAUUGGGUUUAAAGGGUCCGUAGGCGGAUCUGUAAGUCAGUGGUGAAAUCUCACAGCUUAACUGUGAAACUGCCAUUGAUACUGCAGGUCUUGAGUAAAUUUGAAGUGGCUGGAAUAAGUAGUGUAGCGGUGAAAUGCAUAGAUAUUACUUAGAACACCAAUUGCGAAGGCAGGUCACUAAGAUUUAACUGACGCUGAUGGACGAAAGCGUGGGGAGCGAACAGGAUUAGAUACCCGUGUAGUCCCUGUCUCUUAUAC
rnacentral:rRNA from 1 species